rnacentral:rRNA from 1 species
AUUGAACGCUGGCGGGAGGCCUUACACAUGCAAGUCGAACGAGUGGCGGACGGGUGAGUAAUGUCUGGGAAACUGCCUGAUAGAGGGGGAUAACUACUGGAAACGGUAGCUAAUACCGCAUACCAUCGGAUCUGCCCAGAUGGGAUUAGCUAGUAGGUGGGGUAAAGGCUCACCUAGGCGACGAUCCCUAGCUGGUCUGAGAGGAUGACCAGCCACACUGGAACUGAGACACGGUCCAGACUCCUACGGGAGGCAGCAGUGGGGAAUAUUGGACAAUGGGCGCAAGCCUGAUGCAGCCAUUCCGCGUGUAUGAAGAAGGCCUUCGGGUUGUAAAGUACUUUCAGCGGGGAGGCGUUACCUGCAGAAGAAGCACCGGCUAACUACGUGCCAGCAGCCGCGGUAAUUC